rnacentral:rRNA from 1 species
UACGUAGGUGGCAAGCGUUGUCCGGAAUUAUUGGGCGUAAAGCGCGCGCAGGCGGUUUCUUAAGUCUGAUGUGAAAGCCCCCGGCUCAACCGGGGAGGGUCAUUGGAAACUGGGAAACUUGAGUGCAGAAGAGGAAAGUGGAAUUCCAAGUGUAGCGGUGAAAUGCGUAGAGAUUUGGAGGAACACCAGUGGCGAAGGCGACUUCCUGGACUGACACUGACGCUGAGGCGCGAAAGCUAGGGGAGCAAACGGG